GCACUUUUGACACACCUCCCACGUACCCACUCAAAUCACUAUCCCAUUAAACUAUAACUACAAUACAGUUCAUUACCUCAUAUUUUUUUCUAGAUUUGAAACAAUUUGGACUACACUCCCUUUCUUCCGUUCUAUUAUUAAACAAGCAUGGACGAAUAACUUACAAUUACUAUCUGCUAUAAAUUAUUUUACUAAUACAGUGCAAGAAUGGAAUACAACAACUUUUGAUAAUAUUUGUACAAGGGAAAAAAUAUAUUUGCUCGUUUUGGUUGUCUUCAAUCUUCUAUUCAUUAUUUAAUUAGCACCUUCUUGCAAUGGUGAUGCAAAUAUCAAAAGUUUUUACCUAACAACUAUAAAUCAUAGAAGAC
rnacentral:lncRNA from 1 species